rnacentral:lncRNA from 1 species
GAUAAUCCAGGCCUAUUUAUAUAUCGCAGGCUUGCAGAACUCUAGUCCAUACUGGACUAAUGUCUUUGCAUUGGAAACAAAUGCCUUAUAGAAUCCUCAGCACAGUUCAGAAGCUGCACUUACUAUCCUCCACUAGAUGCCAUUUGAAGAAACUGCUUCUGGUGUUAAGGCUCCCCAUUACAAUCAUCCACAGAAUAAAACUAUAACGAGGAAUAUUAAGUGCACCCAAUACCAUCUUCCCCCACCUCGUUUCCUCGU